rfam:Aedes albopictus isolate Foshan contig94751, whole genome shotgun sequence.
GGCUCUGUGGCUUAGUUGGUUAAAGCGCCAGACUAGCGAUAUGGAGUCGUGGUUUCGAAUCCCAUUAAAACAA